rfam:Stegodyphus mimosarum contig125343, whole genome shotgun sequence.
GCCUUCGUGGUGUAACGGUAGCACACUCGGCAGAUAUUCGAGAGGUCCAGGUUCGAGUCCCGGCGACGGCA